rnacentral:lncRNA from 1 species
UGGAUGAUUGAGCGGUGAGGAAAGCUGAGAGAGCUGGAGGGGAGAAGUAGUAACGUUUACGCACGAGAAAGUGAUGGAGCUCGCCAACGGCAAAUCCUGGUUGCAGUGGCUUUUAGUGCUCUGUGAAAACACGUUCUAAACCACGAGAAGUCUCAAAAUUGCAGGAUCUCAAAGGCGGGAAGAGAAGGAUGAUAUGGUAGAAUUGCACUGAAUCAGAGAUGGGCCGCUCCUUUAGUUGAGAAGGGCAGAAAUUAUAGAAUCCUUAGAAUUGAAAGGGACCCUUGAAGCCCAUCUGGUCCAACUUCUCUGCAGCGAACAAGGACACCUACAGCUCCGUCAGAUACACAGAGCCUGUCCAGCCUGACAUUGGGUGCCUCCAGGGAUGGGGUACCACCACUUCUCUGGGCAACCUGUGCCAGUGCCUCACCACCCACGCUGUAAAAGGCUUUUUCCUUACAUCCAACCUAAAUCUACCCUCUUUAAGCUUGAGACCAUCUCCCCUUGUUCUGUCACAACAGACUGUGCUAAAGAGUCUACCCCUUCUUUCCUGUAGCUAAUACAGUGUUCCAAAUGUUCCAGAUGGAGUCAUUUCAGUCCUUUAUAUAAUGCCAUAACAAGAGAGAGUAAUGGAUGAUGUGAAUUUAACGUUGUUGUAAUUUUUACAGGGUUAUUAUUUUAAAUGCCCUUUAGCUUUAAGCUAUUUCCAUCUUACUAGAUGUGCAUUAGUUGAGGAACCUGUUAAAUUGGAUUAGCAUUGCAAGUAUGUAAUGCGCUUUCAUGCUUUUUCUUGUAUUUUAGUAUUUUUCCACUGCACUAUUAGUUUAUAUGAGGGUUUGGGGGAAGUUUUCUUCUGUGUUGUAUUUUGUGUUCUGGUUUGUUUUACACUCAGAAAUUUUAGCAGGAUCUACAAUCUCACACACACAAUGCAAGAGGCAACAGUUUAUUAAACAGCCAAAUUAAUGAGUGGCAUACGUGUUGCUCAAGAGGAGUUAGAAACUGAACCUGGAAAAGCAACUUCACUCCCAAGCCACUGCAAAAAUUGAAAUAUGUAACAAUUCACAUAGCAAACUCAAAGGCAUCAUGUAAGCUACAUUUGAUUUCCUCCCAAAAAUCUUUCCAGUCCUUUCUUAGAAGCACAACACACCUGUGCUUUCACAAUUAAACUAAUGAUUGUGUCUGAACAGAAAAAAAAAAGAGGUACUAUAUCAAGACAUCCACAAACUACUCAGCACAGACAUGGCAAAUGAGUGUAUUUAGGACCCAAAAGACACUUGGAAUAGAAUAGGCAUUUCAUACAGGCUUUUUAAAAAAAUACUUUUAGAUAAUACUUAUACUGUACAGGACGAGACUUUUAAACAAUAUAUUACACUGCUAAAGUGUUCAUAUAAAUACUAUACAGGCACGUGUGCCAAGUGAACCACUAAGAAGGUUCACAAAAAUCUCUGUGGAAAAACUCUGAAUCUUCAAGAUCUCUGAUUUCUGUGAUCCAAGCCACUGAAUCAAGCAAAAGCUAUUUUAAAUUAACUGGGACACGGCAUGAGAUGAACUGCAUUUGUCUGCUGAUUCCCAGUUCCAGUUUUAACAGGUUGUUGUCAUGUUAAUCUGGCAUAUCAAUAUUUAAUUUGGGAGGUGGAAUCACAUAUUUCCCAGGACUCUGUGUAAUGACUACUCCAGUCUUUUUUCGAAACAUUGGUGCAAUUUUUGGUGGCUCAGGAACUGGGGUUUCUUCUGCUUCCUCAUUAUCUUCAUGAUGAAGAUCAUAGGAAAUAUUUCCAUAUUCACGUAGGAAUGGGAAAAUUUCAAGCAGGAACUGGCAGAAGUCUUUGCGAAUUCCAAACCACCCUAAAAAACAAACAAACAAACAAAAAACCCUAACAAAACACAAACCACCACCUUUCACGUGACUGUCAAACAGAGUUAGC